rnacentral:lncRNA from 1 species
UCAUCUAAGAAAUUUGAUUAAGAGUGAGUUCCAACAACUCAAUAAGACCAACAGUAAUAAAGCAACACAAGUAACUUUUGAAAGUCAUUUAAUGUACUUAAUAAAAUACAAUUAAUCAAUAUAAAACUCACUACAUCCAUCAAUCAGUCAUUCAAUAAUUCUAGAUUAUCAUAGCUAGCUUAACAGUGCACUUAAUACCGUAUU